AGAUUAAGUUAGAAAGGGCGCACGGUGGAUGCCUUGGCACUAGGAGCCGAUGAAGGACGGGACUAACACCGAUAU
rnacentral:rRNA from 1 species